rnacentral:rRNA from 1 species
GACGAACGCUGGCGGCGUGCCUAAUACAUGCAAGUAGAACGCUGAAGGAGGAGCUUGCUUCUCUGGAUGAGUUGCGAACGGGUGAGUAACGCGUAGGUAACCUGCCUGGUAGCGGGGGAUAACUAUUGGAAACGAUAGCUAAUACCGCAUAAUAGUAGAUGUCGCAUGACAUUUGCUUAAAAGGUGCAAUUGCAUCACUACCAGAUGGACCUGCGUUGUAUUAGCUAGUUGGUGAGGUAACGGCUCACCAAGGCAACGAUACAUAGCCGACCUGAGAGGGUGAUCGGCCACACUGGGACUGAGACACGGCCCAGACUCCUACGGGAGGCAGCAGUAGGGAAUCUUCGGCAAUAGACGGAAGUCUGACCGAGCAACGCCGCGUGAGUGAAGAAGGUUGUCGGAUCGUAAAGCUCUGUUGUAAGAGAAGAACGAGUGUGAGAGUGGAAAGUUCACACUGUGACGGUAGCUUACCAGAAAGGGACGGCUAACUACGUG